rnacentral:rRNA from 1 species
CCUACGGGUGGCAGCAGUGGGGAAUAUUGCACAAUGGGGGAAACCCUGAUGCAGCGACGCCGCGUGAGUGAAGAAGUAUUUCGGUAUGUAAAGCUCUAUCAGCAGGGAAGUAGAAUGACGGUACCUGACUAAGAAGCCUCGGCUAACUACGUGCCAGCAGCCGCGGUAAUACGUAGGGGGCAAGCGUUAUCCGGAUUUACUGGGUGUAAAGGGAGCGUAGACGGGUGGGCAAGUCUGAAGUGAAAGCCUAGGGCUCAACCCUGGGAGUGCUUUGGAAACUGUGGAGCUAGAGUGCUGGAGAGGUAGGUGGAAUUCCUGGUGUAGCGGUGAAAUGCGUAGAUAUUAGGAAGAACACCGGUGGCGAAGGCAGCUUACUAGACAGUAACUGACGUUGAGGCUCGAAAGCGUGGGGAGCAAACAGGAUUAGAUACCCUUGUAGUC